AUCAUACCAACUGCACUACCACGCUUACACGGUCAAUUUUUUCUGAGUUUUUAUUCAGUGCAGACCUAAAGAAAACACACCGAAAAAGACAGCAGACAUCCCUCUCUCAAAACAAUUCUUCACUUUUCAAGUGGGCUGCAAUGAUGAUGAUAAAUGGAAAAGAAGCUGAGAUGAGUGAUUGUUGGCCCUCUGAUGAUUCUAGACCCAUUCCUUUGAAAGAGGCUUCAGCUCUAGGCAAUACUCUUCUUGCAGUCCGAGGGAGUUUAAGGGACCAUAGGGUCGAUGCAUAUGCUGAUAGUAUGGCUGUGGUUAGUGCUUGGGAAAAUGGGAGUAGAAAACAUACUACUUUAAACAGGGUUGUUAAAGAUCUGUAUUAGGUAACUUAUGUCAACAACAUUGAUUUGAAGCUCCAUUAUAUCCCUUCGAAGUGUAACCCUGCAGAUUUCCCAUUUAGGAAGCUACGAGUUACAUAUUUGAAUUGCAUGCUUGCGCCAGUUAUUGGAGUUUGGUCGAAAAGAGGUUUGGUCCCCAUUCGGUUGAUUUUAUGUAAUGCUACUCCAGAGGAUAUUUGUAGAUUUUUAACACUCAAGGAUGGAAAUGGGAAGACCGAGAUCCAUGAAAUUAAUUGUAAGUAUGUGGGCAAGAAAUCGAACAACUGUAUGUGCCCUGUUAGGUUAUCAGCAGGUAGGGUUCAGUCAAUUUUGGGAAAAUUAUCCAAAUUGUUCGAGUCGUAUGGUAAGGGUAGAUGAUGGGACUCGUUUCCUUGUUUUGGAAAUCCAGUAGGGAGCUUGUAAAUUCAAAAGUAUAUGAAAGCUAUUUAGAAAGAAUAAGCUCAAUCUCCUGCAAGAGUUAAACAGUCAAAACCCUUUUAAUUGGAAAAUUAAGAAAAA